rnacentral:rRNA from 1 species
GUGCCGCUUGCUUAACCCUGCAAGUCGAACGAACCUUCGGGUUAGUGGCGGACGGGUGAGUAACGCGUGAGAAUCUGCCCUCAGGAGGGGGAUAACGGUUGGAAACGACCGCUAAUACCCCAUAUGCCGCGAGGUGAAAUGAAUUUCGCCUGAGGAUGAGCUCGCGUCUGAUUAGCUAGUUGGUGGGGUAAGAGCCUACCAAGGCUUCGAUCAGUAGCUGGUCUGAGAGGAUGAUCAGCCACACUGGGACUGAGACACGGCCCAGACUCCUACGGGAGGCAGCAGUGGGGAAUUUUCCGCAAUGGGCGAAAGCCUGACGGAGCAACGCCGCGUGAGGGAUGAAGGCCUCUGGGCUGUAAACCUCUUUUAUCAAGGAAGAAGAUCUGACGGUACUUGAUGAAUAAGCCACGGCUAAUUCCGUGCCAGCAGCCGCGGUAAUACGGGAGUGGCAAGCGUUAUCCGGAAUUAUUGGGCGUAAAGCGUCCGCAGGCGGUCUUACAAGUCUGUCGUUAAAGCGUGGAGCUUAACUCCAUUUCGGCGAUGGAAACUGUAAGACUAGAGUGUGGUAGGGGCAGAGGGAAUUCCCGGUGUAGCGGUGAAAUGCGUAGAUAUCGGGAAGAACACCAGUGGCGAAGGCGCUCUGCUGGGCCAUAACUGACGCUCAUGGACGAAAGCUAGGGGAGCGAAAGGGAUUAGAUACCCCUGUAGUCCUAGCCGUAAACGAUGAACACUAGGUGUCGGGGGAAUCGACCCCCUCGGUGUCGUAGCCAACGCGUUAAGUGUUCCGCCUGGGGAGUACGCACGCAAGUGUGAAACUCAAAGGAAUUGACGGGGGCCCGCACAAGCGGUGGAGUAUGUGGUUUAAUUCGAUGCAACGCGAAGAACCUUACCAGGGUUUGACAUCCUGCGAAUCCCUUGGAAACUUGGGAGUGCCUUCGGGAGCGCAGUGACAGGUGGUGCAUGGCUGUCGUCAGCUCGUGUCGUGAGAUGUUGGGUUAAGUCCCGCAACGAGCGCAACCCACGUCUUUAGUUGCCAGCAUUUAGUUGGGCACUCUAGAGAGACCGCCGGUGAUAAACCGGAGGAAGGUGUGGAUGACGUCAAGUCAUCAUGCCCCUUACAUCCUGGGCUACACACGUACUACAAUGCUACGGACAAAGGGCAGCAAACUCGCGAGAGCUAGCCAAUCCCAUAAACCGUGGCUCAGUUCAGAUCGUAGGCUGCAACUCGCCUACGUGAAGGAGGAAUCGCUAGUAAUCGCAGGUCAGCAUACUGCGGUGAAUACGUUCCCGGGCCUUGUACACACCGCCCGUCACACCAUGGAAGUUGGCCACGCCCGAAGUCGUUACUCCAACCCUUGUGGAGGAGGAUGCCGAAGGUGGGGCUGAUGACUGGGGUGAAGUCGUAACAAGGUAGCCGUACCGGAAGGUGCGGCUGGAUCACCUCCUA